rnacentral:rRNA from 1 species
CCUACGGGAGACUGCAGUGAGGAAUAUUGGUCAAUGGGCGCGAGCCUGAACCAGCCAAGUAGCGUGAAGGAUGACUGCCCUACGGGUUGUAAACUUCUUUUAUAAAGGAAUAAAGUGAGGCAUGUGUGCUGUUUUGCAUGUACUUUAUGAAUAAGGAUCGGCUAACUCCGUGCCAGCAGCCGCGGUAAUACGGAGGAUCCGAGCGUUAUCCGGAUUUAUUGGGUUUAAAGGGAGCGUAGAUGGGUUGUUAAGUCAGUUGUGAAAGUUUGCGGCUCAACCGUAAAAUUGCAAUUGAUACUGGCAUCCUUGAGUACAGUUGAGGUAGGCGGAAUUCGUGGUGUAGCGGUGAAAUGCUUAGAUAUCACGAAGAACUCCGAUUGCGAAGGCAGCUUGCUAGACUGCCACUGACAUUGAUGCUCGAAAGUGUGGGUAUCAAACAGGAUUAGAUACCCUUGUAGUC